UACGGAGGAUCCGAGCGUUAUCCGGAUUUAUUGGGCCUAAAGCGUCCGUAGCCGGUUUAAUAAGUCUCUGGUGAAAUCCUGUAGCUUAACUGUGGGAAUUGCUGGAGAUACUAUUAGACUUGAGACCGGGAGAGGUUAGAGGUACUCCCAGGGUAGAGGUGAAAUUCUGUAAUCCUGGGAGGACCGCCUGUUGCGAAGGCGUCUAACUGGAACGGUUCUGACGGUGAGGGACGAAAGUUAGGGGCGCGAACCGGAUUAGAUACCCCGGUAGUCC
rnacentral:rRNA from 1 species